rnacentral:rRNA from 1 species
GAUGAACGCUAGCUACAGGCUUAACACAUGCAAGUCGAGGGGAAACGACAUCGCGAGCUUGCUUUUGAUGGGCGUCGACCGGCGCACGGGUGAGUAACGCGUAUCCAACCUGCCCACCACUUGGGGAUAACCUUGCGAAAGUAAGACUAAUACCCAAUGAUAUCUCUAGAAGACAUCUGAAAGAGAUUAAAGAUUUAUCGGUGAUGGAUGGGGAUGCGUCUGAUUAGCUUGUUGGCGGGGUAACGGCCCACCAAGGCAACGAUCAGUAGGGGUUCUGAGAGGAAGGUCCCCGACAUGGGAACUGAGACACGGUCCAAACGCCUACGGGAGGCAGCAGUGAGGAAUAGUGGUCAAUGGACGAGAGUCUGAACCAGCCAAGUAGCGUGCAGGAAGACGGUGCUAUGGGUGGUAAACUGCUUUUAUAAGGGAAUAAAGUGAGUAUCGUGAGACUUUUUGCAUGUACCUUAUGAAUAAGAACCGGCUAAUUCCGUG